GCUCUUGUCGUCCAUGGGUAGGACACCGGGUUGUCGACCCGACAAACGGGGUUCGAGUCCCCGCAGGAGCG
rnacentral:tRNA from 2 species